UACGUAGGGGGCAAGCGUUGUCCGGAUUUAUUGGGCGUAAAGAGCGUGUAGGCGGCCAGACAGGUCCGUUGUGAAAACUCGAGGCUCAACCUCGAGAUGUCGAUGGAAACCGUCUGGCUAGAGUCCGGAAGAGGAGUGUGGAAUUCCUGGUGUAGCGGUGAAAUGCGCAGAUAUCAGGAAGAACACCUAUGGCGAAGGCAGCACUCUGGGACGGUACUGAGGCUGAGACGCGAAAGCGUGGGGAGCGAACAGG
rnacentral:rRNA from 1 species